rnacentral:tmRNA from 1 species
AUGGUUGGCGCUUAACGCAUUCUCCCCUAUAUUCAUCCCGUCCCCGCAAGGGGACUAUGGCGAUAAACCCUCACGUAAUAAGCGGACCGGACCCGGGGGCAGUGCCCGGCGGCUCCACCAGAUUUCUCCCGGGAUCAUUGCCCGGACUGUCUGGGGCCGACACAGGAUCGACGGACGUGUAAAGGUGAAGACUUUGCCCGCUUUGGCCCCGUUAGAAGCCUUUUACGCAAUAGUUGCCAAUGACAACUUUGCUCAGGACCAAGCUCUCAGGACCAAGCUCUUGCUGCGUAAGCAGCGGAACUAGUCCGCACACUUAAGUCCUGCGCUCUAGCAAGUUCAGGCGGGGCUCGGGGCGGCGCCUGGCAACAGAAGCCGCCCCACU